rnacentral:rRNA from 1 species
AGCGGCGGACGGGUGAGUAAUGCUUAGGAAUCUGCCUAUUAGUGGGGGGCAACAUUUCGAAAGGAAUGCUAAUACCGCAUACGUCCUACGGGAGAAAGCAGGGGAUCUUCGGACCUUGCGCUAAUAGAUGAGCCUAAGUCGGAUUAGCUAGUUGGUGGGGUAAAGGCCUACCAAGGCGACGAUCUGUAGCGGGUCUGAGAGGAUGAUCCGCCACACUGGGACUGAGACACGGCCCAGACUCCUACGGGAGGCAGCAGUGGGGAAUAUUGGACAAUGGGGGGAACCCUGAUCCAGCCAUGCCGCGUGUGUGAAGAAGGCCUUAUGGUUGUAAAGCACUUUAAGCGAGGAGGAGGCUACUGAGACUAAUACUCUUGGAUAGUGGACGUUACUCGCAGAAUAAGCACCGGCUAACUCUGUGCCAGCAGCCGCGGUAAUACAGAGGGUGCGAGCGUUAAUCGGAUUUACUGGGCGUAAAGCGUGCGUA